AGGGAGGAGGAAAGCCUUCUCUCCCCUCCCUGGGACAAGUCGAAGCCCCACCCCGAGGGAGAUUUGAGUCCCCGAAUGUGGUAGUUGGUGUCCGGGGCCUGCGCAGAAGGGGACAGUCCGCAAGGGGCGGAAGACAAGACAAAAAUGACUCCAGUUCGCUAUACGCGCAGAGAGGCGGAUAGCGCGCGGACCCCGCCUUCCCCAACCGAGCGUGAGUUCCAGUCGCUGGGGAGGACGUGGUGGCCCCCUGACCUUGGACGAGCCAUACUGGACGCCCCAGCGCCGUCCCGUCUUCCACGCUGCCAACUCCGCUGCUCCCGCCCCGAACUGCGGCCCCGGAGUCAAAGCCGGUUGCCCACCCAGUCCCGUCCCGCAGCAGCCUGCCUCCUCUUUUCUUUCAACGUGACAGAUGCCACUGUGUCCUUCGCCAUGGACUUCCUGGCAGGUGGAGUGGUCGCAGCCAUCUUCAAGACGGCGAUAGCACCCAUCGACCAGGUCAAGCUGUUGCUGCAGCAUGCCAGCAAACAGAUCACCGCAGGUAAGUAAUACAAGGGCAUUAUAGACUGUGUGGUCCAUAUUCCCAAGGAGCAGGGGAGUCCUGUCCUUCUGGCGCAGUAACCUGGCCAAUGUCAUCAGAUACUUCCACAUCCAGGCUCUCAACUUGGCCUUCAAAGAUAAACACAAGCAGAUCUUCCUGGGUGGGGUGGACAAGAGGACCCAGUUUUGACACUACUUUGCAGGGAAUCUAGCAUCAGGCGGUGCCGCUGGGGCCACAUCCUUGUGUUUUGUGUACCCUCUUGAUUUUGCCCCUACCCGUCUAGCAGCCGAUGUGGGUGAAGCUGGAGCAAAAGGGAAUUCCGAGGCCUUGGUGACUGCCUGGUUAAGAUAUGCAAAUCUAAUGGGAUUAAGGGCCUGUACCAAGGCUUUAACGUGUCUGUGCAGGGUAUUACCAUCUACUGAGCUGCCUACUUCGGUAUCUAUGACACUAGAAACGGAAUGCUUCCGGAUCCCAAGAACACUCACAUUGUCCUCAGCUGGAUGAUCGCACAGACUGCCACUGCCCUUGGUGGGUUGGCUUCCUAUCCAUUUGACACCGUUUGCCCCCACAUGAUGAUGCAGUCAGGGCACAAAGGAACUGACUUCAUGUACACAGACAUGCUUGACUACUAAAGAAGGUUGCUCCUGAUGAAGGAGGCAAAGCUUUUCUCAAGGGUGCAUGGUCCAGUGUUCUCAGAGGCAUGGGUGGUGCUUUCGUGCUUGUCUUGUAUGAUUAAAUCAAGAACCACACAUAAGUUAUUUCCUAGGAUUUCCCCCCGCCGUGAACGGGUGUGUUGUAUUAUAUAACAUAUGUUGAGCAUUCUUGACAGACUCCUGGCCGUCAAUUUAUCAGUGGCAACUAUUUAUUCGUUGAAAAUGAGAAGCAAUAAUAUUCAUCUGACCAGUUUUCUCUUAAAGCCAUUUCCAUGAUGAUGAUGGUGAUGAUGACGGGACUCAAUUAUAUUUUUUAUUUCAGUCACUCCUGAUACAUAACAAAUUUGGAGAAAUAAAAAAAAUCUAAAAUUUAAAAAAAUUCUUCUUAAUUUUUUUUUCUUGACCCAGUGGUGGUUCAGGAGAAUGUUGUCUAAUUUCUGUGUAUUUGCAGUUUCCAAAGUUCCUUUUUUAAAUUAAUUUCCAGUUUUAAUUCACUGUAGUCUGAGAAGAUAGUUGGUAUAAAUUUGAUCUUUAAAAAAAAUUGUUGGACUCAUCUUGCGAUCAAACAUAUGACCUGGAGAAUGUUUCAUGUGCCAAGAAGAAGAAUGUAUAUUCUGUAGUUGUUGAAUAAAAUGUUCUGUAGGUGUCUGUUAGGUCUAUUUGAUCUAAAGUGAAAUUUAAGUUCACUUUAGAUUCAAUGUUUAUUUGUUAACUUUCUGUGUAGAAUAUCUGUCUAGUGUUGAUGGAGGUUGAAGUCCCCAACUAUUAUUGCAUUGAAGUCUACCUCUCCCUUUGGAUAAUGUUUGCUUUAUACAUCCGGGUGCUUCAGUGUUGGGUGCAUAUGUAUUUAGAAUUGUUAUACUCUCUUGCUGAAUCUACCCCUUUAUCAUUAUCUCACUACCGUCCUUGUCUCUUUUUUACUGUUUUGACAUAAAGUUUCUUUUAUGUGAUAUAAGCAUAGCAACUCCUGCUCACUUUUGGUUUCCAUUUGUGUGGAAAUUUUUUUUUAAUUCCUUUGCUUUCAGUCUAUAUGUGUCUUUAUGGAUGGGAUAUGUCUAUAUAUGUGUGUCUUUACGAGUAUCUAUCUUGUAGAUAGCAUACAAUUGGAUCAUAUGUUUUUGGACCCAUUCAGCCAGUCUAUAUUUUAUAAGUGGAUAAUUUAAUCUGUUUACAUUCAAGGUUAUUAUUGGUAAGUGAAGGCUUAUUCCUGUAGUUUUGUUCAUUGUUGUUUUGUAUGUCCUUAGUUUCUUUCUUUCUCUUUUAUUGCUUGUCAUCAUAGUUUGGUGGCUUUCUGUAGUGGUAACAUGAGUCCUUUCUCUUCCUUGUUUGUGUGUUUCCUCUACCAGUGAGUUUUAUAUUUAUAUACUGGAAGUCCUCACCAGAGCAA